AGGCACUCUCUCAACCUCUCCUCUGCUUUCGCUUUGCUAGCAGAUGAUUGACGCGAGUGGAGCGAGACGCAAUAAAGGUAUCUCUGGGACAACUUGACAUCACUUGACAAGGAGAUGUCCUGUCAAUGCAAUGCUGACAUAAUGCCUGGACAUGGAAGAGAGUUUGGUAAUGCCG